GGGCCCGCACAAGCGGUGGAGUAUGUGGUUUAAUUCGAUGCAACGCGAAGAACCUUACCAGGGUUUGACAUCCUGCGAAUCUCUUGGAAACAGGAGAGUGCCUUCGGGAACGCAGUGACAGGUGGUGCAUGGCUGUCGUCAGCUCGUGUCGUGAGAUGUUGGGUUAAGUCCCGCAACGAGCGCAACCCACAUCCCUAGUUGCCAGCAGUUCGGCUGGGCACUCUAUGGAAACUGCCCGUGAUAAGCGGGAGGAAGGUGUGGAUGACGUCAAGUCCUCAUGGCCCUUACGGGUUGGGCUACACACGUACUACAAUGGCAACUACAGUGGGAAGCAAGACCGCGAGGUGGAGCAAAUCCCAAAAGUUGCCUCAGUUCGGAUUGUACUCUGCAACUCGAGUACAUGAAGUUGGAAUCGCUAGUAAUCG
rnacentral:rRNA from 1 species